UACGUAGGUGGCAAGCGUUGUCCGGAUUUACUGGGCGUAAAGGAUGCGUAGGUGGAAACUUAAGUGGGAUGUGAAAUCCCCGGGCUCAACCCGGGAACUGCAUUCCAAACUGGGUUACUUGAGUGCAGGAGAGGAAAGCGGAAUUCCUAGUGUAGCGGUGAAAUGCGUAGAUAUUAGGAGGAACACCAGUGGCGAAGGCGGCUUUCUGGACUGUAACUGACACUGAGGCAUGAAAGCGUGGGGAGCAAACAGGAUUAGAUACCCGGGUAGUCCCUGAG
rnacentral:rRNA from 1 species